UCAGGAUGAACGCUGGCGGCGUGCCUAACACAUGCGAAGUCGAGCGGGAAUCGCCUGAUUGAAACUUCGGUCGAAUGAAGGCGAGGAUAGCGGCGGACGGGUGAGUAACGCGUAGGUAACCUGCCCCUUACGACAGGGAUAGCCUCGGGAAACUGGGAUUAAUACCUGAUAAUGCGGUUUGUUCACAUGGACAGACCGCCAAAGAUUUAUCGGUGAGGGAUGGACCUGCGUCUGAUUAGCUAGUUGGUGAGGUAACGGCCCACCAAGGCAACGAUCAGUAGCCGACCUGAGAGGGUAAUCGGCCACAUUGGAACUGAGACACGGUCCAAACUCCUACGGGAGGCAGCAGUGGGGAAUAUUGCACAAUGGGCGCAAGCCUGAUGCCAGCAACGCCGCGUGAGCGAAGAAGGUCUUCGGAUCGUAAAGCUCUGUCCUCAGGAACGAAGAAGUGACGGUACCUGAGGAGGAAGCCCCGGCUAACUACGUGCCAGCAGCAGC
rnacentral:rRNA from 1 species